rfam:Meleagris gallopavo isolate NT-WF06-2002-E0010 breed Aviagen turkey brand Nicholas breeding stock chromosome 6, whole genome shotgun sequence.
UCAAAGGCUUUUUAAGAAGCCACACACUGAUUUAAGUGAAUAAUUU